CUAGCUUGUGCUUUUUCUUAAGUAUGGUCCUCCCCCCACUUCCACUUCAGAGUCUGCACCUGAAGAUUCAUCCGAUCACAGAUGGGGGUUGCUCCCAAGAGGACCCCUGAACACCAGCCUAUCAGUCUGUCCUGUCUUCCUUCUGCUGUACAGACAGGGCAGCCUGACAUCUUCCUGAAGGGUGUUACAGCAG
rnacentral:lncRNA from 1 species